GACAAGAUUUUGGCCUAAAAAGUCCAGAAUAUAUAGUAUAUUUCCCUUUAGCCCAUACUAGCCCAAAGAAGAAAAAAAAUAUCUGGAGCUAUUUGACUAACUGGAGCCCUUGAAUCCUCAAUCCUCAAGUCAAUCCGUUAAUGGUUGCUUAGUUGAACGAUUGAACACUUGAACCCACAAACCCCCGCCCGAAAUCACCAUGAGUCCAUGACAUCUGGCAACGACCCAGAGCCACACCGGUAAUUUGGGGAUUUAAGGUCUGAUAUGGGAUCACAGAUUUACAGGCGAACUGCAGAUAUACUGCUGCUGCGUUUGGAUGGAAUUCACGACAUGCUCUAGUCUCUAGAGGUGCUUGAUCAAGUUUCCCUAGAUGUUGCCGGCGAUGUCCAAUGCUGAUACCUUUCCAACUGUGCAAGUUUGUAGUCUCUGUGCUAUCCACGUUCUGGAGAGCCGUCGGGUGCAUCUUAGGCUCCAGAGCAACCUCAUCAGCUUCAUACCCAACUUGCCACACAUGGUUCAACCUUGCAAUGUCGUACGCAGCUAAAUCUGGACGCAAAAUUAGCGUCGCAAAAAUUGACAUGUAUCUGUUAGGUUUCACAUCACCUGUCAUGUUUUGGACGACGACAUCUUCGAACUCUUUGGAAGGCUCCAGAGGCUGCAAACGACAUCCCAGCUUGGUGUCACUGGUGAUGUUGUAUCUGCUGACCUUCAAAGUCCCGUUGGCCUGUGAAACGGCGAUAAUGGCCCUGGUUCCGAUCAUCCGCGGCCUUUUCCGACGCGGGUUCACACCCCAGGCGACCCAUUUUGGUGUGUCGUCCAUAGAUAUUGGAAUGGUGAACAAGAUGUCAAUGUGGGUUUCGUUGUGGAUGUUCCAGCCGAGUUCAGCUCCCAAAGUGAGUAGUUUCUUGCAGUUGGUGAUGUUCAUGGGGUUGAUGGGAGUACAAAUAUUGGCUCUCUUAUGAGCAGUGGUGACGAGAGAGGAGGAGGACAAGGUCAGUACGAGAAUUAAUGCACACCAGCACAUGUUGGAGUACGGUUGGGAGGAAAUUCUCUGCAAAUGCCAAAUCUGCUAAUUACAAUGUAUCGUAUGUACCUGUGUUUGAGGAGAUCGAGUGGAUUUGUUCCUUUUUGUCUUUGAAUUGGGUAAGAUUGAGGAACAAGUAAAGCAUAUAUAGUUGUUUUUGAUACU